rnacentral:rRNA from 1 species
UGGUGAAUAAUGUAGAAGAACGGUUGAGGGCGAAUUAAUGAAACCGGCCUGCUGAGUCCGGCGGCGCGGCAGGUGGACGACGGACGCGGCGAAUGAGCUGAGGAACUAGAAGUCGUCGAGCAGCGUCUGCUAGGUGCCCUUCGAGGUCUUGACGAAGAAAGGGCCGGUCGCCACCAGGCCCACUAUUCAGUGCGCCGGUAGGUGGCUCAGCUACUACGCCAGGAAGUAGAGCUUCAUGGAGAACAAC